UACGUAGGGUGCAAGCGUUGUCCGGAAUUACUGGGUGUAAAGGGUCCGCAGGCGGGCAAGCAAGUCGGUGGUGAAAUCUCAUAGCUCAACUAUGAAAUUGCCAUUGAUACUACUUGUCUUGAGUUCGAGAGAGGAUAAUGGAAUUCAUGGUGUAGCAGUGAAAUGCGUAGAGAUCAUGAAGAACACCAGUAGCGAAGGCGGUUAUCUGGCUCGAUACUGACGCUCAGGGACGAAAGCAUGGGUAGCAAACAGG
rnacentral:rRNA from 1 species